GACGAACGCUGGCGGCGUGCUUAACACAUGCAAGUCGAACGGUGAAGGGACCGGUUUUUGCUGGUUCUGGAUGAGUGGCGAACGGGUGAGUAACACGUGAGUAACCUGCCCCCUUCUUCUGGAUAACCGCAUGAAAGUGUGGCUAAUACGGGAUAUUCUGCGCCUGCUGCAUGGUGGGUGUGGGAAAGAUAUUGUUUCGGUGGGGGAUGGGCUCGCGGCCUAUCAGCUUGUUGGUGGGGUGAUGGCCUACCAAGGCGGUGACGGGUAGCCGGCCUGAGAGGGUGGACGGUCACACUGGGACUGAGACACGGCCCAGACUCAUACGGGAGGCAGCAGUGGGGAAUAUUGCACAAUGGGCGCAAGCCUGAUGCAGCGACGCCGCGUGAGGGAUGGAGGCCUUCGGGUUGUAAACCUCUUUCGCCAGUGAAGCAGGCCUGUCCCUUUUGUGGGUGGGUUGACGGUAGCUGGAGAAGAAGCGCCGGCUAACUACGUG
rnacentral:rRNA from 1 species